CACAUAGAUGUUAAGUUUUAUAUUUUGGUUUAUUAAAUUCUAUUAUUUAACUUUGUUAAUUUAUAAGCUUUCUAAUUAAUUACUUUUUUUAAUAUCAAUGAUUGAAGACAAUAGUUUUUUUUCUGUUUUAUUUAGUUUUUGUAAUUAAUGUAUUUAAUGAUAAAAUUCCGGAUAAAUUAGAAUCAUUUUAUUAAUGCUACUUUAGAUUUUACAAGGUAUUGUAAUUAAUUUUUUUUUUUUUAUAAUUAUUUCUCAAUUAUAUUAAUAUAUUUUUGAUUACAGGAUCUUUUGGAAAUUCAACAAGUGAAGAUAGCACUGAAGAAAACAUUGACUCAAUAACCAGUUUUGAAUUUUUGGACUCCGAUGAGAAUUCUUAUUCAGCAGAAUAUUGUUCUCUCGAAGAUGAUGAAGAAUAUUUUUAAUUAAUCUAAAUUUGUUAAGACAUUUUGGAAAUGAAUAAUUAAUUAAAAUGUAAUAUUGAUUGAUAAAUUCAAUAUACUUUAUUAUUAUUUUUA